rnacentral:rRNA from 1 species
AUUUAAAGAGUGCGUAAUAGCUCACUGGUCGAGUGACUCUGCGCCGAAAAUGUACCGGGGCUAAACGUAUCACCGAAGCUGUGGAUUGACAUCUUUGAUGUCAGUGGUAGGAGAGCGUUCUAAGUGCAGUGAAGUCAGACCGUAAGGACUGGUGGAGCGCUUAGAAGUGAGAAUGCCGGUAUGAGUAGCGAAAGACAAGUGAGAAUCUUGUCCACCGAAUGCC